rnacentral:rRNA from 1 species
GCCCUGCCCGGGAGAAGGAGGAAGGUUUAUUGAAUUUUUUGAAUAGGCUCAGGAUGAACGCUGGCGGCGUGCCUAAUACAUGCAAGUCGAGCGAACAGACGAGGAGCUUGCUCCUUUGACGUUAGCGGCGGACGGGUGAGUAACACGUAGGUAACCUACCUAUAAGACUGGGAUAACUUCGGGAAACCGGAGCUAAUACCGGAUAAUAUUUCGAUCCGCAUGGUUCGAUAGUGAAAGAUGGCUUUGCUAUCACUUAUAGAUGGACCUGCGCCGUAUUAGCUAGUUGGUAAGGUAACGGCUUACCAAGGCGACGAUACGUAGCCGACCUGAGAGGGUGAUCGGCCACACUGGAACUGAGACACGGUCCAGACUCCUACGGGAGGCAGCAGUAGGGAAUCUUCCGCAAUGGGCGAAAGCCUGACGGAGCAACGCCGCGUGAGUGAUGAAGGUCUUCGGAUCGUAAAACUCUGUUAUUAGGGAAGAACAAACGUGUAAGUAACUGUGCACGUCUUGACGGUACCUAAUCAGAAAGCCACGGCUAACUACGUGCCAGCAGCCGCGGUAAUACGUAGGUGGCAAGCGUUAUCCGGAAUUAUUGGGCGUAAAGCGCGCGUACGCGGUUUUUUAAGUCUGAUGUGAAAGCCCACGGCUCAACCGUGGAGGGUCAUUGGAAACUGGAAAACUUGAGUGCAGAAGAGGAAAGUGGAAUUCCAUGUGUAGCGGUGAAAUGCGCAGAGAUAUGGAGGAACACCAGUGGCGAAGGCGACUCUCUGGUCUGUAACUGACGCUGAUGUGCGAAAGCGUGGGGAUCAAACAGGAUUAGAUACCCUGGUAGUCCACGCCGUAAACGAUGAGUGCUAAGUGUUAGGGGGUUUCCGCCCCUUAGUGCUGCGGCUAACGCAUUAAGCACUCCGCCUGGGGAGUACGACCGCAAGGUUGAAACUCAAAGGAAUUGACGGGGACCCGCACAAGCGGUGGAGCAUGUGGUUUAAUUCGAAGCAACGCGAAGAACCUUACCAAAUCUUGACAUCCUUUGACCCUUCUAAAGAUAGAAGUUUCCCCUUCGGGGGACUAAGUGACAGGUGGUGCAUGGUUGUCGUCAGCUCGUGUCGUGAGAUGUUGGGUUAAGUCCCGCAACGAGCGCCACCCUUAAGCUUAGUUGCCAUCAUUAAGUUGGGAACUCUAAGUUGACUGCCGGUG